UUGGGCUAGGGAUCUCAGGUGGUAGUAGGAGCCGGUGUCGAGGAUGGUGUAGAAGAUUCUUACCAAAUUUGCAGAUGAGGCCGUGGUGAUUGAACGUCUGUGGUUAUCAAGUGGAACGUGUCUCACUGUCUCAGCCUCUUGGUUUGGGUCUUGUCUUCAUAUAAGUGUGUAGCACCUCGCAACCUACAUUCAUAUACUUAAACUUUUUUGUGAAGUAUAUACUAUCAUUAACAAGGAUACUGGAAGGUUUUAAGAAGAGGAUAAAAAUCAUGCGAGUUCAGUACACAUUUUAAGAAAUGGUUAAAUUUAAAAGCUUAUGAAAAGGACACUUGCUCACUGAAUACUGUACAGUGGUCUAAUCAGACCAGAGGUAUACCUGUAUUUGUCUUUGUUGGUAUGUCCCUCCCUUUCCCUGUUGGUUAGGACGAGCUGCAACUCCCCAAUGGUUUCCCGAGAUUUUGUGAUAUAAUGAUGAUACGAUGACGAGUCUGAACUGCAUAUGAAUUUGGGUUUGUUGAUGAUUGUUGCCACGUUCUGUGGUACUGCUUCACUUCCCAUUGGAAGUUGUUGGUUUUAAGAUGUUUUUGAGGCAUUUGUCUGAAUAACUCAUAGAAGGUGUUUUAAAUACUCUUGUUAGUUACCAUGUUGCAAACAUUAAGUUAAACCUCCUCCAUGUAUUAACAUUUAGAUGUAUUCACAGGGGGAUAUGAAAUGAGAUGAAGGAAGCCCUGCAAAAACUAUCUAGUUGUUACUACUUGAAGAUUAUGGAAGGAACUAUUCAUGGCCUGUUAAAAUUAUGCUACUACAGUGGAAAUGGUACAGGCUCAGUGAUAAACAAAUUAUAAUCCAUUCAUUUUCCUAUUAUAACAUAAUAAAACACAUUUUAUCAUUA